rnacentral:rRNA from 1 species
AUGGUCCAGCUUGGCGUCGCAGGUGAGCGUACCGCCGGGAGCAAGGCGCGUGGAGGUGUUCGUGGACGUCGGCAUCCUCCGGCGGGCGGACUACACGCUGGCGAGCAUGGGGCACAUGUACGCCGCGCUGGAGAGCAUGGUGGCGGACCCGUGGCCCGGGCGCUUCGUCGGCAUGGAGUUGCACUUGCCGGUGCCGGUACGGUGCGGCACGGAAGGCGACGACGACGAUAG